rnacentral:rRNA from 1 species
UACGUAGGGGGCAAGCGUUGUCCGGAAUUAUUGGGCGUAAAGCGCGUGUAGGCGGCUCGGUAAGUCAGCUGUGAAAGUCCAGGGCUCAACCCUGGAAUGCCGGUGGAUACUGUCGAGCUCGAGUCCGGAAGAGGCGAGUGGAAUUCCUGGUGUAGCGGUGAAAUGCGCAGAUAUCGGGAGGAACACCUGCGGCGAAGGCGGGUUGCUGGGCUGACACUGACGCUGAAGCGCGAAAGCUAGGGGAGCGAACGGG